rnacentral:lncRNA from 1 species
AGAGAGCAGAGAACAGAGAGAGAGAGAGAGAGAAAAGAGAGAGAGCAGAGAGCAGAGAGAGAAGAGAGCAGAGAGAGAGCAGAGAGAGAGAAGAGAGAGAGAGCAGAGAGAGAGAAGAGAGAGAAAACAGAGAGAGAAGAGAGGGCAGAGAGAGCAAAGAGCAGAGAGCAGAGAGGAAGAGAGGGCAGAGAGCAGAGAGCAGAGAGAGCAAAGAGCAGAGAGAGCAGCGAGAGAGCAGAGAGAAAGAGCAGAGAGCAGAGAGAGAAAGAGCAGAGAGUGAGAAGAGAGAGGGCAGAGAGAGCAAAGAGCAGAGAACAGAGAGAAAGAGAGAGAGCAGAGAGAAAGCAGGGAGAGAGAAGAGAGAGAGCAGGGAGAGAGAAGAGAGGGGGCAGAGAGAGCAGAGAACAGAGAGAGAGGGGGCAGAGAGAGCAGAGAACAGAGAGAGACGGGGCAGAGAGAGCAGAGAACAGAGAGACAGAGGGCAGAGAGAGCAGAGAGCAGAGAGAGAACAGAGAGAGCAGAGAACAGAGAGAGAAAAGAGAGAGAGCAGAGCGAGCGAGAAGAGAGGAGCGAGAAGAGAGCGAGAGAG